AGACGUAAAUACAGGCCAAGAUAUACCAAAUAUGACCAAGAUUGGUGAUAAAAAUGAGAAAACAUUCAGCCCUGAUAAAGACUCUGCAUUUCUGAACUUCAGUCAGUAGAUGUCACUGUUGUGUUUACUAAUCCGAUGGACUCCUCGAAGAAAUGGCUUCUCUCUGAAAAAAAUGUUGAACUGAAAUAGUUUAUCAGCGUUUUAUUGUACAGCAUCUUCACAAACAACAGAAUGCAACGCAACUGACAUAUUGAGGCAUUUCUGCAGGGCCGUCUCGUUCUUUGAUGGAGGCUGCGGAUAUGGAGCUGGAGCCCGUGGUUUCGGUCACCCCUACCGACAGCCCCGACUGCGACCAUCAGAGACCGACCGUUGUCAGGAACCGUGGGGUGUCAGGGCUCACCCGCCUGGCCUGUUAUCCCCCGCACCCGUCCCCUCCUGGACAUCUCUCUGCCCUCGCCCAACACCCUCUCGCCCGCUUUUGAUCAGCCCUGACUCCGGCUGCUCCAGCGAAGCGGCAUGGGUGAUGUGUUGCUGUGGAGGGGGUGGGAUGGACUACAUUUGGUCAUUUGGACUUCAAGGCCGGACUUACCUCUGAUUCUACGUUUUAAUUAGAGGCUGGCAUAAUAAUUGUUUGCUCAAGACUGUAAAAGAGCCCGUUGAGAGGUGGGCCAGAGCUGGCCGUGUGGGUCCUGCUUAAAAUGCCCUGCGUAUAGAGGUGGUAGCAGUCAGGGAGGUCUCUAACUGCUUUAUAUUUAUUAAAAUUCAGAAUAAUCUAAGCAAUAAGAGAUAAUAUACAGCCAGAUGGUCAUUAUUGCGAGAUAAACCCCACCAGGGUGAUCAGGAUCCAAACCUGAAGGAGAUUUCGCCAUAUUGACUGACUGGUGGACUGUACAUUUUCUGGAUUAUUAUGCUACUGUUUAGCAAAAAAAUAAAUAAAUGGACAUGAAAUAUUGAUUUCAGUUGAAAUUCUUUUGUUACGUGAGAAGAGAGAAACGACUGUUUUCAAGCAGGUUUCUCAAAC
ensembl:lncRNA